CGAAUUGAUCUUCUUCAGGUGCAUGCACUACCUUAUCUAACAUGGUGUAUUAUAUAUUUCCCCUACUAAGGAUGAAUACCAGAAAAUGCCCCAGUAUCUAGAAGCAGAUCCAAACAAUAGGUGGUGCUGGGGUGGUUGAGGACGAAAACAUCCUGGUUAUUAUGGAGAAACCUGCCUCAGUUAAAGUAGACACUUCAAAGCAUAACAGGUGGUGUGCAGAAGGGAAUCUCUGAAUACACAAAGCAUUGAACCUUGAAGUGGAUGGGCUACAGCAACAGAAGACCACGUCAGAUUCCACUCCUGUCAGCAAAGAACAGGAAGAUGAGGCUACACUGGGCA